rnacentral:rRNA from 1 species
AGCAGUAGCCGCGGUAAUGCGAAGGGGGCUAGCGUUGCUCGGAAUUACUGGGCGUAAAGGGAGCGUAGGCGGAUCGUUUAGUCAGGGGUGAAAUCCCGGGGCUCAACCUCGGAACUGCCUUUGAUACUGGCGAUCUUGAGUAUGGGAGAGGUGUGUGGAACUCCGAGCGUAGAGGUGAAAUUCGUAGAUAUUCGGAAGAACACCAGUGGCGAAGGCGACACACUGGCCCAUUACUGACGCUGAGGCUCGAAAGCGUGGGGAGCAAACAGGAUUAGAUACCCCUGUAGUCCCUGUCUCUUAUAA